GAACCGUUUCAAGUUGUUUUACAUAGGAACUUUGUUUUUGUUGUACCUGAACCGUUUUAAUUGUAGGACGUGUUACAUUAAAUGUUGUCCCCCUUUAUAAAGAUACGUUUUGAGCCAACAGUGCAGUCUUUUACAGAUAGAAAGAGAUUUGUUUUUCUCUAUACUCAGACGUUUUGCCACAUUGGGAUUCUUCAAUGACUUUUUUCAAAAUGGAGUCCUUUCCCCUUAUCCCUGAGUGUUGUUUUGGAAGGGCUAUCUGUCCUUACACAAGUAUCAGGACUGUUCUUAAGGUCACUGUUUUAUUGAGCACCAUUGAUGGAUUGAAGGCCAGAUGUCCACAAGACCAGGCAUGUCAAACAACAGAACAGAAAUCUGUGCGGCCCACAUGACAGAUCCUAGUUAGCACUAAACUUGUACAAAAUGAUUACUAUUAUUUGUACUUGAAUCAUUCUGCAUCUUCGGCGUUACUUAUUGACUUUUCUUACUUCCGCCUUCUGACAGAAGCGCGUUUUUCCAUGGCAUUACAGUACCGUAAACGUCAUCUGCUAGCAUAGUUGCAGCUGCGGCGUCAGCUCCUUGAUACCCUAGGCAUGACACUGCCCCACCUCAUGAGCCUUGGCCAAAGUUAAUGAGCCGCGACGUCGCAACUGAAGUGCUAGGCUGCAGCAGCCUGGCAGGCUACACUACUGGCUGGGCUGCUGAGAGUGGCCACCGGGCAGAACUGACCAUCACAAGUAGUAAUAGCUCGCAUAUUUUCACGUUUUUUUGCUCUAGUUUUAUGUAAUUUUGUGCUAGUAUUGUAACGAACAGUUAGUGCAGACUACAGCUGAAGAUCUGAAGUGAACGCGAGAAGUUGGUGAGUUGUUUAUUAACACAUUUUUGUGAUUUUGAGUUUGUAAAAUUAGUGUAGGUCAGGGGGCUUUUUGCAUAUCGGCUUAUUUUACAAUAUAAACUUUGAAGUAAACUUAGUAAAGUAAUAUUUUGAUCUGCACAAUGCCAAACAUGCGUAAAUUGAUAUCCCUAUGUCUUUGUCAUUUAAUUUAAAACAAAAUAUUUGUAUUGCAGUAUGAAAGGUACAAUGACCUCAACCAAGUUGGUGUGCCAGGCUUGUAUGCUUACCUGCCACCCUCGUUUGUGCAGAUCCGUAAGUUGGCAUCAAGAGUACUGUCUAUGUUCGGAAGCACUUACCUUUGUGAGCAAUUGUUUUCGUUAAUGAAAGCUACCAAAACCCCACAUCACUUUCAUCAUAAAAGUUGUAGCUGCACAAGAUUUCAAGCCUGAUAUUGAUGAACUGGUUACUAACAAGAGAUGCCAAGUGUCGGAACAAAAGAAAUACUGUAGAUCUCAGACUGUAAGACUCCUCUAUAAGGACCUAGCUAAGAGGCUAACACGCUAAUUGUAUGCUGUUGUACGGAGAUUGUAUGGAAAUAAAUUGCUUUUCUUUAAACUUGAAA